ensembl:snRNA U6 U6 spliceosomal RNA
GUACUCGCUUCGACAGCACAUAUACUAAAAUUGGAAUAAUACAGAGAACAUUGACAUGGCCCCUGCUACAUGCAAAUUUGUGAAAAUUAAAUUU